rnacentral:rRNA from 1 species
GAUGAACGCUGGCGGCGUGCCUAAUACAUGCAAGUCGAGCGAAUGGAUUAAGAGCUUGCUCUUAUGAAGUUAGCGGCGGACGGGUGAGUAACACGUGGGUAACCUGCCCAUAAGACUGGGAUAACUCCGGGAAACCGGGGCUAAUACCGGAUAACAUUUUGAACCGCAUGGUUCGAAGUUGAAAGGCGGCUUCGGCUGUCACUUAUGGAUGGACCCGCGUCGCAUUAGCUAGUUGGUGAGGUAACGGGUCACCAAGGCAACGAUGCGUAGCCGACCUGGGAGGGUGAUCGGCCACACUGGGACUGAGACACGGCCCAGACUCCUACGGGAGGUAGCAGUAGGGAAUCUUCCGCAAUGGACGAAAGUCUGACGGAGCAACGCCGCGUGAGUGAUGAAGGCUUUCGGGUCGUAAAACUCUGUUGUUAGGGAAGAACAAGUGCUAGUUGAAUAAGCUGGCACCUUGACGGUACCUAACCAGAAAGCCACGGCUAACUACGUGCCAGCAGCCGCCGUAA